rnacentral:tRNA from 1 species
CCGUAGCUCAGCUGGAUAGAGCGUCGGUUUCCUAAACCGCAGGUCGAAGGUUCAAAUCCUUUCGG